AUUAGCACAGAAGAGCUUGCUCUCGGGUGACGAGUGGCGGACGGGUGAGUAAUGUCUGGGAAACUGCCUGAUGGAGGGGGAUAACUACUGGAAACGGUAGCUAAUACCGCAUAACGUCNCAAGACCAAAGAGGGGGACCUUCGGGCCUCUUGCCAUCAGAUGUGCCCAGAUGGGAUUAGCUAGUAGGUGGGGUAACGGCUCACCUAGGCAACGAUCCCUAGCUGGUCUGAGAGAAUGACCAGCCACACUGGAACUGAUACACGGUCCUUACUCCUACGGGAGGCAGCAGUGGGGAAUAUUGCACAAUAGGGCGCACCCU
rnacentral:rRNA from 1 species